rnacentral:rRNA from 1 species
UACGGAGGGGACUAGCGUUGUUCGGAAUUACUGGGCGUAAAGCGCACGUAGGCGGAUUUGUAAGUCAGGGGUGAAAUCCCGGGGCUCAACCUCGGAACUGCCUUUGAUACUGCAAAUCUCGAGUCCGGAAGAGGUGAGUGGAAUUCCUAGUGUAGAGGUGAAAUUCGUAGAUAUCAGGAAGAACACCAAUGGCGAAAGCAGCUUUCUGGGACGGUACUGACGCUGAGACGCGAAAGCGUGGGGAGCGAACAGG